UUCCUCUUCGCACUUUCCCCUCUUUCUUUAGUCCACCGCGUCAUUACUGCUGUCUACGCCCUCAACAAACCUCUCUUCCGGUUCAGACAAAAGCACGUCUCGAUUUUCAAACUCUGGUUUUCCAUCGGGACUGGUUUCAGUCUAACGGUACUCAUUGGUGUCACUUUGAUUCUUUUCUGGCAAUUAUUCAUGAGCUCCAACACCCGGCUAAGCAACCUUUUCGGUUUCCUCUUAUUCGGGUUUUCUCCUUCUUUAAGAAUCUCAUUGUUCAAUGAUGGAUUUUUAUUCAUCUCCACUUCGGUCUCCGUUUCAGUCCAUGAAUUUGGCCACGCUAUCGCCCUUGCAAGAUUAAAUGCUCUCCGCGACGGACAAUCAUUAGGUAGGCAACGAUGAUUGGGUGACAUGACGAUGACCAGGGCAACAGAGGCAAUGGUGGCUGCUGACGUUUAGGGUUUGCAACAAUUCAGGGCAAUAGCCCAUUUUGCAGCUCUGCCCUGCUCUUAAGGCAACAUGUACAAUGUCAGUUGUAUCAAUCAUUUCAGAAACCAACAAAUCGUACCAUUGUUGUUGCCAAAAUAAAUACCAUAUGUUUAUAGAAAAAGGUAAACAUUGGUUGGUAUUUUGAGAAGCCUCUUCGUUACUUGCUGCAGCUCUUUCUUAUUUUGAUUCGAAUUAUAAUAUUAUGAAUGAAAAAAAUUAAGUUGAAAAUAUCGUCUUUUAUUGAA